GAUGAAGAACGUAGUGAAAUGCGAUAAGUAAUGUGAAUUGCAGAAUUCAGUGAAUCAUCGAAUCUUUGAACGCGCAUUGCGCCCGCCAGUAUUCUGGCGGGCAUGCCUGUCUGAGCGUCAUUUCAACCCUCAAGCAACUUCUGCUUGGUGUUGGGGAUCGGCCGUCAAACGCCGCCCCCGAAAUCUAUUGGCGAUCUCGCUGUAGCUUCCUAUGCGUAGUAGUAACAUCUCGCAUCUGGAGAGCGGCGCGGUCAUGCCGUAAAACACCCAACUUCUCAGGUUGACCUCAGAUCAGGUAGGAAUACCCGCUGAACUUAAGCAUAUCAAUAAGCGGAGGA
rnacentral:misc_RNA from 1 species